UAUUUAAUUCGUAAAUUGUUGUUUGUUAAUCUUGUCACCAGACAAGUAUUCGAUUAAUCUGGAUGCUAAUAAUGUCUCAAGCUUGUUAUUGGGAUUAAUCAACAAACAAGAAUAAGAAGACCGAGUGAGAUGGUUUUCUGUGUGUGAUGUGAUUUAUUAGAUAUUUUUAGGAAUUACCUACCUAAUUUUUAUUUGUUAAUAAGCAAAUAAUUUUAUUAUUAUUAUUUUGAAGGUUCCAUUAGAUUGUGGGGGUUUUAUGGAUAUCAGUUGAUUUGUUUGCGGGUUUCGGAUAAGAUUAUCGCAAUUUUUGCAAAAAGUGAAACUUUCGGAUUCUUUUUGGUUGAAAGUGUUUUUUAGUUUAAUUCAGUUCUAGUAACCUUAGUUUCUAAUGAAGAAACUUUAAAAUUUCGAAAAUUAAGAUAAAAGUGCAUCGGAGUUUUGAAACUUAUAUUAAAAAGAAGAUCACGAGGAAGCGUCAAAGUUGAAGUUUAUUAGGAAAUUUUGUUGUCAGUGAUUUCACUAUGUCAAACCUUGUUUUUGGGUUAAAAAUAAACAUUAAAAAAUUCAAAAAUUGUUUGCCUUUUUAAUAUUAAAGAUCAGCUGAUAAAAAUUUCUCAGCUACAGAAAAAAAUCUGAAAAUACAUUUGAUUUCACCCGGGUAAUACACGGGUAUCCUGAGUUUCUGGUUUUAUACGGGUUUUACACUGAUACCCGAUACGUAGUCGGGUACUCGGGUAUUUCAAAAACCAUCAGGUUACCGAAAACAAGACGGGUGCCUAAAUUUGAAUAAGGAUCGUAUCAAUGAAUCAUUAACAUGCAUAUAACACAGGAAAAUUACAUAAUAUUGCCGACAAAAUAAUUUCAUGGUUUUCAAAUUCAAAGCAACAGACUUACUACCCUCACCCCCACCACCAUCAUCAACAUCAUCAGCAUCAACACCAACAUCAGCAUCGCCACUACCAAUCGUCAACACUUGACCGGGCACUUGUGGUUUCCGG